rnacentral:miRNA from 1 species
GCCAAAAAGUUCGUUCGGGUUUUUCCAUAAGAUGGUAUGGAAAAGCCCGAACAAACUUUUUGGC